GUGCCAGCACCCGCGGUAAUACUGAGGGUGCGAGUGUUCAUCGGAUUUACUGUGCGCAUAGCCUGCGUAGGCGGCUUUUUAGUCGGAUGUGAAAUCCCCGAGCUUAACUUGGGAAUUGCAUUCGAUACUGGGAAGCUAGAGUAUGGGAGAGGAUGGUAGAAUUCCAGGUGUAGCGGUGAAAUGCGUAGAGAUCUGGAGGAAUACCGAUGGCGAAGGCAGCCAUCUGGCCUAAUACUGACGCUGAGGUACGAAAGCAUGGGGAGCAAACAGGAUUAGAUACCCUGGUAGUCC
rnacentral:rRNA from 1 species